rnacentral:rRNA from 1 species
AGCGAACGCUGGCGGCGUGGAUAAGACAUGCAAGUCGAACGGGAACAAGCGGAUAGCAAUAUUUGUUUGUUCUAGUGGCGAAAGGGUGCGUAACACGUGGCUACCUACCUCAAUGUGGGGGAUAGCUCGGCGAAAGCCGAAUUAAUACCGCAUGUGACCGUAAGGUUAAAGUCGGGGAUCGUAAGACCUGACGCAAUGAGAUGGGGCUGCGGCCUAUCAGCUAGUUGGCGGGGUAAUGGCCCACCAAGGCUUGGACGGGUAGCUGGUCUGAGAGGACGACCAGCCACACUGGAACUGCGACACGGUCCAGACACCUACGGGUGGCAG